rnacentral:rRNA from 1 species
UGGGGAAUUUUGGACAAUGGGCGAAAGCCUGAUCCAGCAAUGCCGCGUGUGUGAAGAAGGCCUUCGGGUUGUAAAGCACUUUUGUCCGGAAAGAAAUCCUUGGCUCUAAUACAGUCGGGGGAUGACGGUACCGGAAGAAUAAGCACCGGCUAACUACGUGCCAGCAGCCGCGGUAAUACGUAGGGUGCAAGCGUUAAUCGGAAUUACUGGGCGUAAAGCGUGCGCAGGCGGUUUGCUAAGACCGAUGUGAAAUCCCCGGGCUCAACCUGGGAACUGCAUUGGUGACUGGCAGGCUAGAGUAUGGCAGAGGGGGGUAGAAUUCCACGUGUAGCAGUGAAAUGCAUAGAGAUGUGGAGGAAUACCGAUGGCGAAGGCAGCCCCCUGGGCCAAAUACUGACGCUCAUGCACGAAAAGCGUGGGGGAGCAAAACAGGAUUAGAUACCCUGGUAGUCCACGCCCUAAAACGAUGUCAACUAGUUGUUGGGGAUUCAUUUCCUUAGUAACGUAGCUAACGCGUGAAGUUGACCGCCUGGGGAGUACGGUCGCAAGAUUAAAAACUCAAAGGAAUUGACGGGGUCAUAGCUG